rnacentral:tRNA from 1 species
AAGGGAGACCUAAUUCAGGUAGGAGACGAAAAAAAAGUAGUCGCUACCAAGAAUCAAUCCCAAAAGGUCGGAGCGAGGCGAAAUUGGCUUUCAAACUAGGUUCUGGGUUCACACAAGACUUGAAUCAGGAACAAGGGCUAUUAGCUCAGGUGGUUAGAGCGCACCCCUGAUAAGGGUGAGGUCCCUGGUUCGAGUCCAGGAUGGCCCACCUGUACAGGUGGCAAAAAGAAAGAAAAGAAGCGAGGAAUCAGCACCUUAUCUUACUGACAUAGUAAGAGAGAAUGCUGGCUCUGAGUAAAGAGUCCAGAGGAACCUUGAAAACUGCAUAGAGCUAGGUGAAAAAGCCAAAAAAGAAGACCGCAA